UAAAUGAUACAUUUUGAAGCAGAAUGACUUGUUUCUUAUUUUCUGGUAACUUCGUUUGCUACGUUGGAGUCCUAACUGUUGGUCUUGGUUUGAGGGUUGUAUCUUGUGAUUAUGUUAACGUCGCCCUUAACAAGCAAACCCAUCAGGAGAAUCCAGCAGUAGUGUGGGACGCCAGGUUUGAAUCUAGUAACGCUGUAGAUGGACUCAAAUCAAACCAUACAUGGGACGAGGGGCAGUGUGUUGUAUCAGCGUACGGCAAACAAACCGCCACCUGGUGGGUGAACCUGUCCAGCAUCCACAGCAUUCAUCAUAUUACCAUCUAUUUUCGGACAGGCAAUGAAAAAUUGGGUUUUGCAAAGCCUCUCGCCAUCACAGUGUCGCCUAAAAAUUUAAGGCUGAGGGAAGGUGAGCCAGCAGUGUUUAGAUGUACGUCCAGUGUACCCGUGCCACUGCGAUGGAGUACAAGCAGCAAUAAAUCUCUACCUGUGCAAGCCUUUGUUGGGGACAACUAUCUGGCAAUUCCAGAAACGCGGAUUUUGGACUCAGGAUCUUGCAAAUGUUUUGUUGUUGGUGAAGAAUCAAGGUUUUUUACGGUUGCCAGGUUAGAUAUUUGGUCAGAAUGUGAAGCAGACCAAAUGACAUGUUCCAAUGGAAAGUGUGUACCAAUCAGCUACAUCUGUGACGGAGAUAACGACUGUAGGGACAUGUCCGACGAACAAAAUUGUCCAAGCCGCACAUGUGCAGGAGAUGAAAUGAAAUGUUCCAAUAGAAAGUGUGUACCAAUCAGAUACAUAUGUGACGGAGAUAACGAUUGUGGGGACAUGUCCGAUGAACAAAAUUGUCCAGGCAACACGUGUGGACCAGACCAAAUGACCUGUUCCAAUGGAAAGUGUGUACCAAUCAGCUACAUCUGUGACGGAGAUAACGACUGUGGCGAUUUCUCCGACGAAAGAAACUGUGAAACAAUAUCGUACAUGCCAUCCAACUUUCUUGGGUUUUCGGUGUAUGUCUCAAACACAACAGAUAGGUCACAGGGAACCUUAUGUUUCAAGGACAACAAUUUUACCACGAGUAGCCUGCCUGCAGUGUUCACUAUCAACUGUUCCGUCCACGGACAGUACGUCAUCUACUACAACGAGAGACUCCCUGGGACUGCAUACCCUGACGACUAUUCUAUGUACGCCUUUAAUGACGUCUGUGAGGUGGAGGUAUACUGAUGCGAACAAACAAGACAUAACGGACCUAACUGUUCACGUUUUGAUGGUAGUUGUCGGAGUUGUGAUACAAAGAGGGGCGUCUGUGAGGAAUGUGCAUCUGGAUAUGAUGGUCAACAGCAUGAGAAGGAUUCAUCAAGUAAACACAGUGUACCUAACUGGCAGAUAAUGUUCUACUGUAUGCUGGGUGUUUUUGGCGUUUCGCUAAUCAUCAAUGGAUCACUUGUUAAGUGUGUGCAUUCACAGGAAAACGGCUGAAGAAACAGAGAACAAAUGACGAAGCACAGUGGAGAAAUGGCGAACUUCUUAAUGUCUCGCACAACUGUAAUGAAUAUGACAAUUUACAGCAAUCUCCUGUUGAAAUAUACGAUACUGUCGUAUAGUUGAUAUAUGUAGAUGGUCACGCUGCUGUGCAUUAUAUUUCAGUGAUUUGGUUAUUUUUCAUUCUUGUUUCUUAAUUUCAGGCAAAAGCUCAAUCCAGCAAAAUUAAUUAAAACUAGAAAACUGACCAGUCAGGAAGGGCCCCGCUAUGACAAUUAAUAUAGAGAAGUGAAAAAAAGUUUGAAUUCCAUCCUCUUUAUAUUAACAAUGAUGAAAAAUAAAUGCCCGGCAUAAGAUGUAAAGAACUGCAAUAUAUAUAUAAGGUGGUAAAAAAAAAUAUAAAAAUUAUAAGUAACAUCUGUAUUUUUAAAAUUUCAAGAUAAUUCCUGAAUGUCCAAAAGUUCUAAAUAGUUACCUUGUAUCUGCAUAUAACAGGGAUAAUCUCAUGUCUUAUAAAAAAAACUAAAUAAAAUGUGUAUU
rnacentral:misc_RNA from 1 species